AAAUGAAGCAACACUACUUUCCUUACAUUAACAUAAAUUAAAGUAAAGAAUUCACAGAAAAUAUCAAUAUUCGGAAUCUGCUGGUCAAAACACUCGAUGCGACUCUCUCACACUUGCUUUCAUUGCUGUUCUCGGAUUUUCUUCGGAAGUAUUGUGCAAAUUAUUACUAUUAUUAUUUCUGUGUUAAGCUACGAGAGAAGACGACAGCUUCGCACAUGCCACAAACUGUACUUAUUUACACGUGCGAUGCUCAACGAUCAUGAUGAUGAUGAUCAGCGACACAAUGUUGACCAAUGCUGAUGAUGAUAAUGAAGUGCUAAAGCAACUGGCAUUUGUCGCAGUAUUGAGCACAGAAGUUCUUGGUCAUUGAUUUCCAAGCAAGGCCUAAACAGAUGUACGCCAGAUAGUCAAAGGGGCAAUCAAAGAGAAUUUCUAAUUUGAUGCUGUUUAAACUUGAGUAUGCCGUUG